GCGCAAUAAUUAUCGCGAGGGGAGGGAGCCCGAACGAAACGACCAAAGCAAAGCGAAAGAGAAGAGAAAUCGGCCGGUCUUCCCUCGCUGGACUAACUAGCGAGUAGAGAGAGAGAGAGAGCAUCAGAGCAGGCGAAUCACAUCGCAGAGCCAAGGCAGCAGCCUCAUCGCCGCCGGUGGUUCGCUUCCUGCCGCCCCACCAAGCCCCGAAUCAAAGCCGGGGCUGCGCCUCCCUCCCUGCUAUUGGUGUUGGUUUAUCGCGCGGCUGGCCGGGGGCGCUGUCGUGUGCUGCGGAGAGGAGGACCGGAGGGGGCGGAGCAUGGACGGAUCCGCCGCGGCGGAGCUGGAGAGGGCGGAGAGGGUGGUGAGGCGGUGGAACUCCACGGCGUCCGCGCCCGCGGGCGGCGGGGGCGGGGGCGGGGAGGACCAGAUGCUGUUCGACGGCGGCGGGGACCGGGCGGAGGCCGAGCGCUUCCUCCAGGCGGUGGACGACCUCCGCCGCCUCGCGCCGCCGUCCCCCGGCAGCCCGCGCCGCACCUCCUCGGCGGGGGCCUCCGGCGCCGUCCAGGUCGCCAUGGCGCGGCUCGAGGACGAGUUCCGCCACGUGCUGGCGUCGCGCGCGGUCGACCUCGAGAUCGAGGUGCUCGCCGACCUCAGCUCCCUCUCCAUGUGCAGCGACCGCUCCAGCUUCUCCGACGUCGGCGACGCGCCGCCGGUGGACGACGACUCCGUCGAGUCCUCCGUCGGCCGCCGCAGCAGCUACCGCUCCAUGCGCAGCAUCCGCGAGAUCGACCUCCUCCCGCCCGAAGCCGUCACCGACCUCAACGCCAUCGCCUCCCGCAUGGCCGCCGCCGGCUACGACCGCGAGUGCGUCCAGGUCUACGCCUCCGUCCGCAAGCCGGCCGUCGACUCCGCCCUGCGCCGCCUCGGCGUCGAGAAGCUCACCAUCGGCGACGUCCAGCGGCUCGAGUGGGACGCCGUCGAGGUCAAGAUCCGCCGCUGGAUCCGCGCAGCCCGCGCCGCCGUCCGCGGCGUUUUCGCCAGCGAGCGCCGCCUUUGCUUCCUCAUCUUCCACGACCUUCCCGUCUCCAACCCCACCAUCGCCACCCCCGCUCCCACCACCACGUCCGCCGCCCCCUUCGUCGAAACUGUCAAGGGCGCCGCGCUGCAGCUCUUUGGCUUUGCCGAGGCCAUCAGCAUCGGCCGCCGCUCACCGGAGAAGCUCUUCAAGAUCAUUGAUCUGCACGAUGCACUGGCCGAUCUGCUUCCUGAUGUCUCCGAUAUCUUCGCCGCCUCCAAGGCCGCGGAAUCCAUAUAUGUGCAGGCUACCGAGAUCAGGGCGCGUCUGGCUGAUGCUGUCCGUGGGAUACUCUCCGAGUUCGAGAGCGCCGUUCUCCGUGACCCGUCCAAGACUCCAGUACCCGGCGGCACCAUCCAUCCCCUCACUCGCUAUGUGAUGAAUUACAUUGUCCUCAUUUCAGACUACAAGACGACACUUUCUGAGCUGAUCGUGUCACGGCCAUCAGCUAGCUCGCGCGUUUCUGCUGAGGGCAAUGAGCUCAGACCGUCAUUUCCUGAUCUGGACCUUCCUGAUCCUGACAGCCAGCUACCCCUUUCUGCUCAUCUCAUCUGGACUAUUGUGGUUCUUGAACACAACCUUGAAGGCAAGGCAUCACUCUACAAGGACCCGGCACUCUCUCACUUGUUCCUAAUGAACAAUGUGCACUAUAUCGUGCACAAGGUAAAGGACUCGCCUGAGCUCUGGGGACUCAUUGGCGAUGUGUACCUAAAGCGGCUCACAGGUAAGUUCCGGUUGGCAGCCACAGCUUACCAGCGCAGUGCAUGGCUUAAGAUCCUGAAUUGUCUAAGAGACGAGGGUCUCCAUGUCAGCGGUGGCUUUUCAUCAGGAAUAUCCAAAUCAGCACUUCGGGAGCGCUUCAAGUCUUUCAAUGCUGCGUUCGAGGAGGCACAUAGGGCUCAGUCUGGGUGGUAUGUGCCUGACACACAGCUGAAAGAAGAACUUAGGAUCUCAAUAGCAGAGAAGCUGCUCCCAGCAUACCGGUCCUUCCUUGGUCGAUUCCGGCAUCAUAUUGAGAAUGGGAGGCAUCCAGAGUUGUACAUCAAAUACACAGUUGAGGACCUUGAGAUAUCUGUGAUGGAUUUCUUUGAGGGGUCUCCACCUCCGCCGCAUAAUAGGAGGAGAUCCCAUGGAUGAGAGAUUGCUUGAAGCUUGCAGUAGUCGUAUCACUUGGUUGGGUGUUGUUGCCGAGCAUUCUUUAAUUCUUCGGUGAAGCCAGUGCAGGCAGUCGGAGGCCGGCGCAACGGACACUGAUUGCAUCAUCAUCAUAAGCAGCCAGGCCAAUCAUUCCCUCCCCUGUCGUGUCGUUAGAACAGAUCCAGCACAUGCUAACCGGAUAACCGAUGCCGCAUCACGUAACAGCAAGGGAACCCCAACGAACAACCGACCCAAUCGGCAGUUCCGGCAGGGGCAGAGCCGAAAUGUUCUCAAUUCUCAAGCGGAAAAGCAGGUGCGCUAUAAUGUGUUGUGCUACUGUAUGUUUUAGUUCUUCAUGUAUAGGAUGGUUUUUGUUGAGCAGAGCUGGGACGAUGCCAUCUGAAAGCCCGGACCGACCCGGGACGGGAGGCGAAUGGCAUUUGGUUUCGUGCGUGCGGUGCCAGGGGCGACGACGGGUGCCGGAGAGAAGUCAGCGGGCGCCCGUGAGGGUGAGGCGUGCCAGCCAAAAUCCCAGCGUCCAGUGGUGCGGUCAGUGCGCGCGGUCGUGCGGCUCGUGAGCCGGAAAAGGCGAGGGUGCUUCACAGGCGGCCCCGGUCGUCCGUGCGGCGUCCAUGGGUCCUCCUUUUCCGAGAAGAGUUUUCCAACCGCAGGCGCAGGUGGUGCCUGCCGUGAUCGAUGCCGACGGCCGGCCGUUCCUCCGCUGUAGGUGCGCCAUCUGGAUGUGGAGGCGCGCGCACUCGUCGUCCGUCCGGCGUCACGACGGUGAUCCCACCGAAAGCAGGACCGGGAUGUCCGCUCAGCGAUCGUGCAUGUUCGUUCGCUUCAUCGCUUGGUCUAAAUUCCUCGACACGGCGGCCGGGUAUAUUCUCCGAUGACGAAUACAAGUCUCGGUCUGCUGCUGCUGCUUUGCGCAUCCUCCCUUUUUUCGGCUCUUAUUGUUCUUUCCAGGACGUGCGGCCGCAAAGGGUGCUUCUGCUCGUGCGUAAUUUAUUUAUUUUUGUGUGGAUUCCACUAUUGUACAGCUGAUUCAAGGGCAGUCAAGACUCAAGAGGGGGUACGGAUUUCUUGCUCCUGGGCUCCAUGGAGACUGGUUUUCGAAAGAAAAAAAAACAAUAUUCAUAUUUUUGAAGUUUAAAAAGUAUGCGUGUGUAUAGAGGGAUGUAUACUAAAACCACGACGCUUAUUUUGGAUCG